rnacentral:rRNA from 1 species
UACAGGAUGGGCCCCGCAUCUGAUUAGCUAGUUGGUGAGAUAACAGCCCACCAAGGCGACGAUCAGUAGCCGACCUGAGAGGGUGAUCGGCCACAUUGGGACUGAGACACGGCCCAAACUCCUACGGGAGGCAGCAGUGGGGAAUAUUGCACAAUGGGCGAAAGCCUGAUGCAGCAACGCCGCGUGAAGGAUGAAGGGUUUCGGCUCGUAAACUUCUAUCAAUAGGGAAGAAAGAAAUGACGGUACCUAAAUAAGAAGCCCCGGCUAACUAC